rnacentral:rRNA from 1 species
CGGACGGGUGAGUAACGCGUGGGUAACCUGCCGUAUACAGGGGGAUAACACUUAGAAAUAGGUGCUAAUACCGCAUAAGCGCACAGGACCGCAUGGUCCGGUGUGAAAAAACUCCGGUGGUAUACGAUGGACCCGCGUCUGAUUAGAUAGUUGGUGAGGUUAACGGCCCACCAAGUCAACGAUCAGUAGCCGGCCUGAGAGGGUGAACGGCCACAUUGGGACUGAGACACGGACCAGACUCCUACGGGAGGCAGCAGUGAGGAAUAUUGGUCAAUGGGCGAGAGCCUGAACCAGCCAAGCCGCGUGAAGGACUAAGGCCCUAUGGGUCGUAAACUUCUUUUGUCGGGGAACAAAAAGGUGGACGAGUCCGCCGUUGCGUGUACCCGAAGAAAAAGCAUCGGCUAACUCCGUG